AACCUAAACCUCUCUCCCUAACCACAAUCUCGUGUUUUGUGAAUUCCCCCGACCGGCAAAGGGCGACGGCAUCAGCGAUUCGGAUUCGGCGACUCCUCUUCUCUUCUCUGUGACAAAGGUUGGUUGAGGGAGUUGUGACUUAGGUCACAAAUUCAAGCCCCCAAGGCUUAGUUCAAGUGGCAAUGGCUGAGGGCACGUUCAAGCCUGUGCCAUGAGAACUAAGUCUGAUAUUUAAGUGGAGAACAGUAGAGGGGUGGCCCAUUAUCCCGGAAUUUCGAAGGCUGCGGUUGGUCCCAGACGGAUUUCUCGGUCAU